UGGUACAGUGGGAGCCAUAAUUCCCAUUUGUUUGAGUUGGGGAUUUUUUUCCAGAAAACCACAAACACAGGACAAUGAAAAAGAGCUACUCCUUCCAGCACAUCAUGAGGGAAUACAGCAGAGUCUGAUGAAAUCAGAUGAAAUCAGAAAUCUGCAUACAUUCACACAGCAGUGUGAAUGUAUGCAGCUCUCAAAACCCCUGGAAAACAGGUAAACACAGCUCUGCUCUGGAGGAAUAUUUUUUUGUGACUGGGGAGACUCAGCAUGUGAUUGUCAGAAGUGUUGGUAACAUGACAAAUAUUCCCACUCUGCAACUAUGAACACUUGGAUUAAAGAAAGCAUCCUGCAAAAACACCUGUACAGGAGUUGUUGAGAUAAACUGAAGCCCAAAUCAGAAGGAUAUUGCUACAGCAAUGCAAUUUUUUCAAAGUACAUCAUCCAAAGAUGUCAUGCCUGCUUCAAACUGCUUGUAGAUGAAACAACAGCUGGAUGAGAAGUACAAGGAACAGG